rnacentral:lncRNA from 1 species
UCAUCCUAGGUCUUAAUCAUCUCAUAUUGCAGAAAAGAAAACUGAGACCCAGAGAAAGACGUCAGAGGCAGGAUUUAAAUUCUGAAUUUUUGAAUAACCAUUCCACCUUAUUUGUCUCUUAAUUGGACUGACUCUACCCAGGACUUGGGAGUAAGAUAUUUUAUCUGAGUCUCAGAUCUCUGGAUUUUGAAGUGUCUGAAAAUGAUUUAAACUUUUUGAGGUAUCCACUUGGUGUGCUGAAUUUUAGAGGCAGAACAUAGAAAGAGAAAAAAACUUAAGAGAAUUUAUUUCAACUAUCCCUAUUUACAAGAUGGAGAAAAUGAAGCCAAAAUUACAGAUUCUUUUUUGGCUCACCUUCAGUUUAUCGGUCAAUCUUUUUGACUAAUAAAACUUUGGGAAGAUUCUAUUGUCAGAGAGAAGAGGAAAAUAAAAGGGGGAUCCAGGGCUGUUUACCUGGGGAUGCUUCUUGAUCUAUCCUAUUAGCUGACAACAAAGUCCAGAAAAGAAGAAGAAAGAGAUGAAGAGGAUGGUCUGCCCUCCCCAUCUGUUUAUGAUUGAGGUUCCAGGAUUCUACAUUUGGAUGAGUGAGGCAAUCAACUUUGAAUCUUAUAUUGAGUAUUAAUUUAUUUUUAUUUUUGGAGACUGCUUAAAAGAAAAUUGAGAACAUUUACUUAACAGAGGUUCUCACAUGUUUAUAAGGAAGGCCCUACCUAUAGCAAAAAGAUGUACUAGAAGACUUUCCAAGACAAUUUUCAACAUUUUGAUGGACUCAAAUCACUUUGAUGGAUAUGAUGUUUUUUAAAUCAACUUUAACUUACAAUGAUAAAUACAAGAUAUCACAUCUUAUAAUAUG